ACGGGAGGCAGCAGUGGGGAAUAUUGGGCAAUGGGCGAAAGCCUGACCCAGCAACGCCGCGUGAAGGAAGAAGGUCUUCGGAUUGUAAACUUCUUUUAUGAGGGACGAAGGACGUGACGGUACCUCAUGAAUAAGCCACGGCUAACUACGUGCCAGCAGCCGCGGUAAUACGUAGGUGGCGAGCGUUAUCCGGAUUUACUGGGUGUAAAGGGCGCGUAGGCGGGGAUGCAAGUCAGAUGUGAGAUCUACGGGCUUAACUCAUAAACUGCAUCUGGAACUGUAUUUCUUGAGUGCUGGAGAGGUAGAUGGAAUUCCUUGUGUAGCGGUGAAAUGCGUAGAUAUAAGGAAGAACACCAGUGGCGAAGGCGAUCUACUGGACAGUAACUGACGCUGAGGCGCGAAAGCGUGGGGAGCAAACAGGAUUAGAUACCCUGGUA
rnacentral:rRNA from 1 species